UGGGGAAUAUUGGACAAUGGGGGCAACCCUGAUCCAGCCAUGCCGCGUGAGUGAUGAAGGCCUUCGGGUUGUAAAGCUCUUUUGGCGGGGACGAUGAUGACGGUACCCGCAGAAUAAGCCCCGGCUAACUUCGUGCCAGCAGCCGCGGUAAGACGAAGGGGGCUAGCGUUGUUCGGAAUUACUGGGCGUAAAGCGAGUGUAGGCGGUUGCCGUAGUUAGGUGUGAAAGCCUUGAGCUCAACUCAAGAAAUGCACUUGAUACUGGGUGACUAGAGGACCGGAGAGGAUAGUGGAAUUCCCAGUGUAGUGGUGAAAUACGUAGAGAUUGGGAAGAACACCAGUGGCGAAGGCGGCUAUCUGGACGGUUACUGACGCUAAGACUCGAAAGCGUGGGGAGCAAACAGGAUUAGAUACCCUGGUAGUCCACGCCGUAAACGAUGGGUGCUAGACGUUGGCGAGCUUGCUCGUCAGUGUCGCAGCUAACGCGUUAAGCACCCCGCCU
rnacentral:rRNA from 1 species